AUGUCCCCGUCCUUCUGGCCCUGCUGUGGGGUUGGGGAGCCGGGGUUGCCACCUUGGUGGCCGUGGCUCGGCCUCCCGUCGCCCCAGGGUGCUGCUUCGGCCUCGCUGGGGCCCCUCGCCCGCCCUGCCCUGCGCCUUCCUCCCGCAAGAGGGAGAUGGGCGUGCGGGGACGGGAUGGCUGGAUGGGGCCUGCCAUGGCGUCCUUCCUCCUCCUCGUCAUCUUCCUCCUCCGCGGCCACGGCGAGCUGCUGCCUGGCCGGGUGCCCGCGGUGUCCCCGCGUGGGGCGCGUUGUGCUCCUCUCCAUCGAGUCGUGGGGUCAGCCCGGUUCCCCGUCCGUCCGUCUGUCCUUCCUCGCCUCGGGAGCCCUUCGCAGGCGGGCUGCCGGGCUGGACGCUGACCCCCUGCUCGUCCCCAGCCCCAUCCCAAAAGCUGCGGAUCCCAAACUGCCCCUCCCCGUGAGGGGUGACCCCAAGGAGGGGGCGAGGAAGGAAACCGAGGCAGGACGCCCCAGAGGAGGGCACGGCGGCCGUGUCCGCGCACCCAGCGUUAGUCAGCAGGGAGGGGACGCCCUGCCCUGCGUGGGGACGGGCGCUCGCCUGAGUCACCCGCACCGAGGGGCAGGGUGCUGGGGCCGGGCACCCCGAGUUCACUGUGGGGUGCUCCCCGUGCAUCCCCACCCUAUUGCUGGGGGCGCGUGGCCCCCGGUUGACACAGCCCGUGGCUGUGGGGCCGUGAAGCUGGGAUUGGGCUGUGAAGCUGGGAUGGGGCCCCAAGUUAUGAGGCUGCCACAAUUCAUGGGGAUCCCCAUGUUAUGGGACCCCAGGUUACGGGGAUCCCCACGUUAUGGGACCCCAGAUUACGGGGAUCCCCACGUUAUGGGACCCCAGGUUACGGGGAUCCCCACGUUAUGGGACCCCAGGUUACGGGGAUCCCCACGUUAUGGGACCCCAGGUUACGGGGAUCCCCACGUUAUGGGACCCCAGGUUAUGGGGAUCCCCACGUUAUGGGACCCCAGGUUACGGGGAUCCCCAUGUUAUGGGGCCACCCCGCAGCUCUGGGUCCCCAUGGCGGGGAUGAUGCCUCGCAGCUCGGCUGCCCCAUAUGCGCUGGAGCCCUGUACCCACGACACCCCAUGGCCAGGAUGUGCACCCUCAGGCUACCCUCCCAGCCCUCCCAGCCCCACCCUGGCGCUCUGCGACCAAAAAACUAAAAGGAAAGAGUUAAAAAAAUAA
rnacentral:lncRNA from 1 species